UAAUAUCAAAUUUUCAAUCAUAGAUGUCAUGCCAAUUGUAUGAACUAGCCAAAAUUUCUAGCCCUAAUUAUAUUAUAUAAAAUCCAAAUCAUUGAUACAAACCCUGAAUUUGAACAACAAUGGCUAACUCUUCCAAAACCUUUUCAAAACAAUUCUUAUAUCUUUGGAAUGAACUUCAAGCUAGCUCUCAAAUCCUAACCUUCGAUCUUUGAAUGAAAUCCUAUUUUGUCCUAGGCCGUCGUUUUAGUAGCCAGAGGUCUGAUUUCAACCUUGUCUCACAAACGGUCAAUCCCUGGGUAUCAAUCUAUCCUAUCCUAAGAAUUUUUUAGCCCAACCCUAUUCUCAAC
rnacentral:lncRNA from 1 species